GUUCCAGCAGCCGCGGUAAUACGAAGGUUGCAAGCGUUGUUCGGAAUCACUGGGCUUAAAGCGCAUGUAGGCGGACAGGAAAGCGUUUUGUGAAAUCCCUCGGCUUAACCGAGGAAUUGCUUGGCGAACUUCCUGUCUUGAGGCAAGUAGGGGUGCAUGGAACUCUUGGUGGAGCGGUGGAAUGCGUAGAUAUCAAGAGGAACGCCAAUGGUGAAAACAGUGCACUGGGCUUGUACUGACGCUGAGAUGCGAAAGCGUGGGGAGCAAACGGGAUUAGAAACCCUAGUAGUCC
rnacentral:rRNA from 1 species